AUUGAACGCGGGCGGCAGGCCUAACACAUGCAAGUCGAGCGCGCGGCGGACGGGUGAGUAAUGUAUGGGGACUGCGCGGGAGAGGGGGAUAACUCCUGGAAACGGUGGGUAAUGCCGCAUAGUAUGGGGUCAGCCAUAGGGGAUUAGAUAGUAGGUGGGGUAAAGGCUGACCUAGGCGACGAUCUCUAGCUGUUCUGAGAGGAUUAUCGUCCGCAAUGGCAUGGGGCUACGGCCCAGACUCCUACGGAGGCAGCAGUGGGGAAUAUUGCACAAUGGGCUCAAGCCUGAGGCAGCCAAGCCGCGUGUAUGAAGAAGGCCUUAGGGUUGUACAGUACUUUCAGCGGUGAGGCGUUACCCGCAGAAGAAGCUCCGGCUAACUCCGUGCCAGCCGCCGCGGUAAUAC
rnacentral:rRNA from 1 species